rnacentral:tRNA from 1 species
GCCCCGAUGGUGGAAUUGGUAGACACACAAGACUUAAAAUCUUGCGGCCGUUAGGCUGUGCCGGUUCAACUCCGGCUCGGGGCA